rnacentral:rRNA from 1 species
CAGCACCUCAAGUGGUCAGGAUGAUUAUUGGGCCUAAAGCAUCCGUAGCCGGCGCUGUAAGUUUUCGGUUAAAUCUGUACGCUCAACGUACAGCCUGCCGGGAAUACUGCAGCGCUAGGGAGUGGGAGAGGUAGACGGUACUCGGUAGGAAGGGGUAAAAUCCUUUGAUCUAUUGAUGACCACCUGUGGCGAAGGCGGUCUACCAGAACACGUCCGACGGUGAGGGAUGAAAGCUGGGGGAGCAAACCGGAUUAGAUACCCGCGUAGUCC